GACAGAGGGGGCAAGCGUUGCUCGGAAUUACUGGGCGUAAAGGGCGCGUAGGCGGGAUGGCAAGUCGGUCGUGAAAUCCCUCGGCUCAACCGAGGAAUGUCGAUCGAUACUGCUGUUCUUGAGGAUUGCAGAGGAGACUGGAAUUCCCGGUGUAGCGGUGAAAUGUGUAGAGAUCGGGAGGAACACCGGUGGCGAAGGCGGGUCUCUGGGCAAUUCCUGACGCUGAGGCGCGAAAGCGUGGGGAGCAAACGGG
rnacentral:rRNA from 1 species